rnacentral:tRNA from 1 species
GGGGCUGUAGCUCAGUGGUAGAGCGCUUGCCUAGCAUGUGGGAGGCACUGGGUUCGAUCCUCAGCGCCA